rnacentral:rRNA from 1 species
GGGCCCGCACAAGCGGUGGAGCAUGUGGUUUAAUUCGAUGCAACGCGAAGAACCUUACCAGGGCUUGACAUACUGCGAAUCUUUCUGAAAGGAGAGAGUGCCUUCGGGAAUGCAGAUACAGGUGGUGCAUGGCUGUCGUCAGCUCGUGUCGUGAGAUGUUGGGUUAAGUCCCGCAACGAGCGCAACCCUCGUCCUAUGUUGCCAGCACGUAAUGGUGGGAACUCAUGGGAUACUGCCGGGGUCAACUCGGAGGAAGGUGGGGAUGACGUCAAAUCAUCAUGCCCCUUAUGUCUUGGGCUUCACGCAUGCUACAAUGGCCGGUACAGAGGGCUGCAAUACCGCAAGGUGGAGCGAAUCCCAAAAAGCCGGUCUCAGUUCGGAUUGAGGUCUGCAACUCGACCUCAUGAAGUCGGAGUC